UGUACAAAUGCUGAAAUUUUAUUCAGAAUUUUUCUAUCAUUAAAUUCUUUUCUCAGCUGAUUUUGUCUGUCUUACAGAAACCUGGACUCCACGAAUCUGAUAUAAAUCCUGUACGCGAUCCCUCGGCUGUAUCUGGAAAUAAACCAGGUUGUAAACCUUCUGGCGUCUGCGAUGACAACGGCGGUUAUUGCAUCGCAAGUAACCUAGAAGCAGAGUGCAACGGUACCGUCUACCCGAGACUGUGCAAAACGGCUUUCUGCUCUUGUUGUGUAGAAAACAUGUAGUUCGCAAAGUUACUAUUUCGUUUUCCUGAGCAAGUAACUAACUUUGCAGUUUCACAUACAUCUAAUCUGUUUAGUGUAUCGUGUGAGCCUUCUACACCUGGUUCCUUAAUAUUCCCUUAAACAUCAAUUGCUAUUUUAUCAUUAAGAACUCCUGAGAUUUCGAGCCACUGGCGCAAUAUUGCAAUAAAGUGAAAAGGAUUUGUGUCAACACUGUAUAGAAGAAAUACAAUGAUAUGGCACAGUGGUGUAUUAAGACUAUCAUUUAAGAAGUAUGUUGCCUGCACUGUUGUGACACCUAAAUAACAAAUAGAAGCAGA